AUUUUAUUAUUUGCUCAAUUAGCUUCUUCCUCUCGGACGGUUCCGCCAUUGAAGAGUCUCUGAGAGUUCUUUUGGCGCCAAAGGCUAUUGAUGGAACAUCUGGCCCAAACGCUCCGCAAUGCCGCGUCAAUUCGUUACAAUGCAGUUUUUGAGUAAUGGUCGGGAUUCGAAAUGAAUGAAAAGCGGCAUGUGCGUAGGAUGUCACGAAACGUGAGGGAUUGCAAUUGUAUGGAGUAGUGGAAGAAAGAAUGGAGAAGUUAGUGAAGCAAAAUUGACGGUCCUCUUCAGAUUCCCAAAUCAUGAGGCUCCAGCAGUGGUCAGAUCGGGUAUAUUCAAAGUUCAUCCAUGUGAGAAGAUUUUACACCUAGUUGAUGGCACAAGGCAUGAGUUAGGCAACAAAAGACAAGUCAAAAUUUUGGAGGUUUUUGUUUAGUAGCUGUUUUCAGGGUGUAGUUGUAGAGUCCUGUUAUUUUUGUUGCUGAUGGCUCUGAAGUUGAGAGUUAUGGAAGAUAAUGCUUAAUGAGGAAAGUAUGCUACUCAUUGAUGACCCAUUCCUUCCAAAAACUUUUCAACACCCAAAUUGUGGUAGUGGGCCACAAACCACAUUGACAUAUAUGUUUUGUUGAUAGUGGUUGGAUUUACUUUUAAUAAGGGUAGUAGUGGGAUGUGAUCAAAGCAUUCAAUUGUGCCUCAUUACGUCUCCAUGCCCACUGAUAAUGGCCCUCAAAAAAGGACACGAGCCUUACCGCCCUUUUUCUGAUCCUUCCUCUGUACAUGUGUUUUUAAGUACAUAAGUUUGUUCUUGAGGAAAUUAGGG